rnacentral:rRNA from 1 species
AUCGAACGCUGGCGGCAGGCCUAACACAUGCAAGUCGAGCGGUAACACAGGGAGCUUGCUCCCGGGUGACGAGCGGCGGACGGGUGAGUAAUGUCUGGGAAACUGCCUGAUGGAGGGGGAUAACUACUGGAAACGGUAGCUAAUACCGCAUAACGUCGCACGACCAAAGAGGGGGACCUUCGGGCCUCUUGCCAUCAGAUGUGCCCAGAUGGGAUUAGCUAGUAGGUGGGGUAAUGGCUCACCUAGGCGACGAUCCCUAGCUGGUCUGAGAGGAUGACCAGCCACACUGGAACUGAGACACGGUCCAGACUCCUACGGGAGGCAGCAGUGAGGAAUAUUGCACAAUGGGCGCAAGCCUGAUGCAGCCAUGCCGCGUGUAUGAAGAAGGCCUUCGGGUUGUAAAGUACUUUCAGCGGGGAGGAAGGCGAUAAGGUUAAUAACCUUGUCGAUUGACGUUACCCGCAGAAGAAGCACCGGCUAACUACGUGCCAGCAGCCGCAGUAAUAC